rnacentral:tRNA from 1 species
GGUUUUAUAGUUUAUUAUAAAAUGCUAAAUUGUAAAUUUAGAGAUGAUCGAUUCUGAAGCUU